UUUCGAUUUCUAAAAGGGUCAGCAAAAUAUGAUCCCAAAUUUCGAAAUUUCUCGUUCUUCUUUCACCAUUCAUUCACCCAAAUUAGGAACCCUAGGUAGGAGACUCCCCAAAUUCGAGAGCCAGUCGCUGCUGUGCACAAACGCUGCGCGCAGCAGCUUUUCGUCGCGCCGAUGGCUGCUGUUCGGCAGCCCGUGCACUCCCAGGUCGUCGCCGCAGGGUCAGGCCACAGCAGGAGACGCAGCACGGUUCGCCGUGCUGUACACCGCCGUCGUUGUCGCCAUCACUGGAGCUCGGCAGAUUCGAGCCGUCGUCGGAACAGAGGAGACGUCGCCUCCGUGACUCCCUCUCCCUCUCUAGGCUGCUUUACAGCUGUGAGCACCGCCGUCAGCCGCCAGCCAGCUCCGCCGCCGUGCCACGCUGCUGAUAUCUCGCCGGCAGCCUCCUGACUGCCAGCAGCCGUCCGGUUCUCCGUCGAUCAACGAGCAGCCGUCGCCGAAGUCCAUCGGGGAGCCACCCCUGCUCCCGUCGCCCUUGUCGUCGCUGCUGUCCGAGCGUGAUUCGAGGCGCGCCACCACCGCCUCGCGCUAUUGCUCCAGCGGCGUAGCAGCCUCCUCGCGAUUAAGCUAAGUCUCGGUUUAAAUUCUAAAUUUUCAUCUUUGUCUAAAUUCUCAGUUUUGAGCAUGUGGCAGUAUGAAUAAUCUGGACUUUUGGAUUACAGUUUUGAGCCUAUUUCUUACUGAUUGUGAGGGGUUAACGUUACUUGAAGGAAACUUGUGUAUACAUGAUGGUUUCUAUAUAUUUUUUUUGUUCCUACAUGAUGCCAAAGAGAAGGCUUGGGGUGGGGAGCAUGGUUACCUGUUGUGGAGUUAUGGAAAGGUGUGAAAGAGCUCCCCCUUUGCCGCCUAGUUCUCGGCUCCUCAGAGAAUAAGAGUAUGUUGAUUUCUUUGAUGUGGUGGGAGGGUGUUCAAGGUAGUGUUGAGGGGGUUUUAUAGGCUGAUCUUGGUGUACUUGGGAGGAUUAAAUGGGCUGAUUUCUCAUUUUGUUUUCUAUAGGCAGCAUAUCUUCCUUUCUAUGAUUCUGCAGUACCUUUAGUUUAAUGUAACUUGGUGUCAUUUGUAGUACUAGGUACUUGAUCAUUAACUCCAUUUGUUCCCAUAUGAUUAUCUAGUACUUUGGCUAUGAACUUUCAUUGUUUGCUUGUGGCUGGUGAGAGAAAAAUAGGUGUACAAGGAGGGCUGCAGGGUUUGUUAGGAGUGGGAGUGUAGCUGCUGCUGCAAAUCUGAUCUUGCCCCUUUUUGGCAAGUCCUUUGGUCUCUCAUUGUUAAAGGAAGAUAGAAGGGAAACUUGGCUGCCACAAGGUUGCUGCAUUGUUGUUGUUUCUCGCGGGCGGCCUGGGCUCGCUGCCCUUAGCCGACGGCUGCACGGAUAGGGGCGCGGUGGAGUGCGACGUGGGCUCGGGAGAAGAAGCCCAAAGUGCAAGCCAUACUAGACUUUAUUUCCUUAAGCUUUUGGCCCAUUCAAGAGUAUUUGUUCUAGUGCAGUAUCCCAUAUUCUCUUCAACAACUUCAUACGUGAGGCGAUCAUAAUGUAUUAUGUUUUCGAACGCUUUUAGUUCGGGGUACACACUUUCAUAUCCUUGUACACUUUCUUUUAUUUAUAUUUUAUUUAUUUAUUACAUACACA